rnacentral:rRNA from 1 species
GACGAACGCUGGCGGCGUGCCUAAUACAUGCAAGUAGAACGCUGAAGAGAGGAGCUUGCUCUUCUUGGAUGAGUUGCGAACGGGUGAGUAACGCGUAGGUAACCUGCCUGGUAGCGGGGGAUAACUAUUGGAAACGAUAGCUAAUACCGCAUAAAAUUGAUUAUUGCAUGAUAAUUAAUUGAAAGAUGCAAUUGCAUCACUACCAGAUGGACCUGCGUUGUAUUAGCUAGUUGGUGAGGUAACGGCUCACCAAGGCGACGAUACAUAGCCGACCUGAGAGGGUGAUCGGCCACACUGGGACCGAGACACGGCCCAGACUCCUACGGGAGGCAGCAGUAGGGAAUCUUCGGCAAUGGGGGGAACCCUGACCGAGCAACGCCGCGUGAGUGAAGAAGGUUUUCGGAUCGUAAAGCUCUGUUGUAAGAGAAGAACGGGUGUGAGAGUGGAAAGUUCACACUGUGACGGUAUCUUACCAGAAAGGGACGGCUAACUACGUGCCAGCAGCCGCGGUAAUACGUAGGUCCCGAGCGUUGUCCGGAUUUAUUGGGCGUAAAGCGAGCGCAGGCGGUUAGAUAAGUCUGAAGUUAAGGCUGUGGCUUAACCAUAGUAUGCUUUGGAAACUGUUUAACUUGAGUGCAGAAGGGGAGAGUGGAAUUCCAUGUGUAGCAGUGAAAUGCGUAGAUAUAUGGAGGAACACCGGUGGCGAAAGCGGCUCUCUGGUCUGUAACUGACGCUGAGGCUCGAAAGCGUGGGGAGCAAACAGGAUUAGAUACCCUGGUAGUCCACGCCGUAAACGAUGAGUGCUAGGUGUUAGGCCCUUUCCGGGGCUUAGUGCCGCAGCUAACGCAUUAAGCACUCCGCCUGGGGAGUACGACCGCAAGGUUGAAACUCAAAGGAAUUGACGGGGGCCUGCACAAGCGGUGGAGCAUGUGGUUUAAUUCGAAGCAACGCGAAGAACCUUACCAGGUCUUGACAUCCCUCUGACCGCUCUAGAGAUAGAGUUUUCCUUCGGGACAGAGGUGACAGGUGGCGCAUGGUUGUCGUCAGCUCGUGUCGUGAGAUGUUGGGUUAAGUCCCGCAACGAGCGCAACCCCUAUUGUUAGUUGCCAUCAUUCAGUUGGGCACUCUAGCGAGACUGCCGGUAAUAAACCGGAGGAAGGUGGGGAUGACGUCAAAUCAUCAUGCCCCUUAUGACCUGGGCUACACACGUGCUACAAUGGCUGGUACAACGAGUCGCAAGCCGGUGACGGCAAGCUAAUCUCUGAAAGCCAGUCUCAGUUCGGAUUGUAGGCUGCAACUCGCCUACAUGAAGUCGGAAUCGCUAGUAAUCGCGGAUCAGCACGCCGCGGUGAAUACGUUCCCGGGCCU